CGUGGUUCUGGCAGCAAACUUUCAUGAUUAUUAUUAUCGAAAAGGUUAUUCCUUCUGGAUAUGUACCGUGCUUGACAUCUGCCAUUAAAAUUGUCCUCUCUGAUUAGCUGAUAGCCAGUUUUCUCAGAUCAGCAAACGACUAAUAUCAGAAAAAGACGAAAGAUUACUCAGUCCCUAAUAAGACAUGCCGUAUUAGCACGAGGUUAUAUUAGCGCGGUUCUCAGUAACGGAUAUGGUGAUCAGGGCUGUUUAUAACUGGUUUGGUACCUUCGGUGUUUCCAGACAGAUGUCAACUAUGAAGAUUGUUUUCUUUAUCUUCCUUUUUCAAGUGGAUAUCCAAGCCAGCAAAUGCCCAGAGCAUGUUGAUUCACAAAUACAGAAAUGUAUAGAAGAAUCAGGCAUGUAUAAUCUGGGCCAGACUCUCGGAACGAUAAUUGCUAAUGGCAUUGAUAACAGUGGCUUCUGUACAGGAGGAAAAUCAUCAGCGAUAGUCUGUAUUGAAGACGUAAUCAAUAAUUGCGCUAAUCACACUGAGCAGCGCCAGAUGAUGACUUUGAUGGUUGAUGUUCAUAAAUUGAGAACAAAUUUUAAUUAUUUUUGCGAAAACUUAAACAUUUUAUCAGCCAACAAAUCUUGUUUUUCAAGUUUAUACCAUGUUGGAGACUGCGUUGAGAAAACGACAUCCACCAUGAAAAAAACACCACAAAACUGGUCGGUUAAAAAUGUUUUGGAUAACUUGUGUCAAUUAUUUUCUUCCAUCAGUACUUGUUAUUCCAUCUCUUUCCCAGCAACAUGUAAUAUGACGUCACAGCUCUUUUCUCGUCUGUUUGAUGGAGCUCGUUAUCCAUAUUGUGAUUUAAGUGAAGUUCAAAGAGAAAUGAGACUUGCAGAACUAAUGUAUAACACAAGUCCUUCAUCGUUUAAUGUUUUCCUAUCAUUCGUGUGUGUCUUUGUGGGUUUGCUAUGUAACGGCACCUUCAUUGUCUCAUGUGGUGCAGAAAAGUAGGGCGUUAAACCUCUCCAUUUCAUUUGCUCAACGAUGGAAUAAGUUUGCUUCCCAUCAUUGAUUAUAAGGACAAUGCCUGACGUCAAUAUGACGAGAAAAGAAAAUGGAAAGCAUGUACGAUUGACGAAUGGUAAUAUUUCGUGUGUGGGAAGGAAAUUGUCAGAGCUACGUAUGAAACCUAUUGCUGCUAGAAUGAAACAAUACCAUGCCCAAAACAAUGUUCUUUAAUGGGCAUAUAAAAUAAAGCGCUAUCCGCUAAAUACAAGGCACGAGAACACAUAACACAACUAAAUUGUGUUCUAUUUGCUAUUAUCAUUAAUGUCUAUAUAAAUAUUUUUUCUUUAUAUUCUAGAUUUCCUGUGUUCUUUUUGCUAUUAUCAUAAUGUCUAUAUAAAUAAUAUUUUUUUCUUUA